AGAGAGAGACAUGCGCGCAUAUCAAUAAGCGGAGGAAAAGAAACUAACAAGGAUUCCCUUAGUAACGGCGAGUGAAGCGGGAAGAGCUCAAAUUUGAAAUCUUCAAGGUUUUACCUUGACGAAUUGUAGUUUAAAGAAGUGUUUUCUGCUGAAGUUUUGGUAAAAGUUCUUUGGAAUAGGACAUCAUAGAGGGUGAGAAUCCCGUAUUUGACCAUUAUUUUCAGCUUUGUGAUACACUUUCAAAGAGUCGGAUUGUUUGGGAAUGCAGUCCAAAAUGGGUGGUAAAUUUCAUCUAAAGCUAAAUAUUGGCGAGAGACCGAUAGCGAACAAGUACCGUGAGGGAAAGAUGAAAAGAACUUUGAAAAGAGAGUUAAACAGUACGUGAAAUUGUCAGAAGGGAAGCGUUUGACACCAGUGUUGUUUUCUCGAAAAUCAAUUAAAAAUGGCUCGAUUUUGUAUUGCUUGAGACCUUAAAAGCUCACUGUACAUUUUUCGUGUCUUUUUUAAUGCACUUUUCGUUUAACAAGUCAACAUCAGUUUCUUUUGUUGUAAAAGGGUCAUUGGAAGGUGGCUUUCUUUUCGGAGAAAGUGUUUAUAGCCUUUGGCCUCUGCAAUCGAAGAGACUGAGGUCUGCAGCGUAGACUCUUCGGGGUUAGAUACAUUUGUGCUAAGUUAUAGCUUUUUAUAGACAACUUGUUGACUAUAAUUAGUCUUGUAGCUUACUCGCUUAUGCUAUUUUACCUACGCUUAGGAUGUUGAAGAUGUAGCACAUCAU
rnacentral:rRNA from 1 species